GUAGGUGAACCUGCGGAAGGAUCAUUAACACUCCAAAACUUCUCAUAGCUCUGGGAAACCAGAGUUUAUGAAACCCUAUUCACAAUACGAGCCCGGCAGGUGUUGCUUUCUGAGCAGCAUCUUGCUACUCUUUUGUCCAUUCUUUUUAUUUUAACCCAAUAUCACUUUUUCUGAUUGUCUGACUGGAAGGCUUUACCGUCUUCCGUUGCUCUUGCAGCUAACCCAGUAAGGCAAUGAAAACUCGAAAACA
rnacentral:misc_RNA from 1 species